GCCUGGGAGGAGAGCACACACCUGCUGGGGCUCAGGGAUGACCCAGGCCCAGGGAGAAGGGGCAGGCGGCCCAGGGGCCUGAGGGAGAGACGGGUUUCGUAGCUGUGGUGAACAAGGCCAUGAGUGCCAAGUUUGAGCGGCUGGUGGCGAGCGCAGAGCAGCUGCUGAAGGAGCUGCCCUGGCCCCCAACCUUUGAGAAGGACAAGUUCCUCACCCCUGACUUCACCUCCCUGGAUGUUCUCACCUUCGCUGGCUCCGGCAUCCCUGCCGGCAUCAACAUCCCCAACUACGAUGAUCUGAGGCAGACGGAAGGCUUUAAGAACGUGUCGCUGGGGAAUGUGCUGGCUGUGGCCUACGCCACGCAGCGGGAGAAGCUCACCUUUCUGGAGGAGGAUGACAAGGACCUGUACAUCCUCUGGAAGGGGCCCUCCUUCGAUGUGCAGGUGGGCCUGCACGAGCUGCUGGGCCAUGGCAGUGGCAAGCUCUUCGUACAGGACGAAAAAGGAGCAUUCAACUUUGACCAGGAAACAGUGAUCAACCCAGAGACGGGCGAGCAGAUUCAGAGCUGGUAUCGGAGCGGGGAGACCUGGGAUAGCAAGUUCAGCACCAUCGCCUCC
rnacentral:sRNA from 1 species